rnacentral:rRNA from 1 species
UACGUAGGGUGCGAGCGUUACUCGGAAUUACUGGGCGUAAAGUGUGCGCAGGCGGCCGCGCAAGUCGAGUGUGAAAUCCCCGAGCUUAACUUGGGAAUUGCGCUCGAAACUACGUGGCUGGAGUGUGGCAGAGGAAGGUGGAAUUCCACGUGUAGCGGUGAAAUGCGUAGAGAUGUGGAGGAACACCGAUGGCGAAGGCAGCCUUCUGGGCCAACACUGACGCUCAUGCACGGAAGCGUGGGGAGCAAACAGG